UACGUAGGGGCCGAGCGUUGUCCGGAGUUACUGGGCGUAAAGCGCGCGCAGGCGGCUCGUCAAGCCUGACGUGAAAGCCCACGGCUCAACCGUGGAGGGUCAUUGGAAACUGGGGAACUUGAGUGCAGGAGAGAAGAGUGGAAUUCCACGUGUAGCGGUGAAAUGCGUAGAGAUGUGGAGGAACACCAGUGGCGAAGGCGACUCUUUGGCCUGUAACUGACACUGAGGCGCGAAAGCGUGGGGAGCAAACAGG
rnacentral:rRNA from 1 species